GACGAACGCUGGCGGCGUGCUUAACACAUGCAAGUCGAACGAAGAGCGACGGAAGCUUGCUUCUAUCAAUCUUAGUGGCGAACGGGUGAGUAACGCGUAAUCAACCUGCCCCUCAGAGGGGGACAACAGUUGGAAACGACUGCUAAUACCGCAUACGAUCUAAUCUCGGCAUCGAGGAUGGAUGAAAGGUGGCCUCUACAUGUAAGCUAUCACUGAAGGAGGGGAUUGCGUCUGAUUAGCUAGUUGGAGGGGUAACGGCCCACCAAGGCGAUGAUCAGUAGCCGGUCUGAGAGGAUGAACGGCCACAUUGGGACUGAGACACGGCCCAGACUCCUACGGGAGGCAGCAGUGGGGAAUCUUCCGCAAUGGACGAAAGUCUGACGGAGCAACGCCGCGUGAGUGAUGACGGCCUUCGGGUUGUAAAGCUCUGUUAAUCGGGACGAAAGGCCUUCUUGCGAAUAGUGAGAAGGAUUGACGGUACCGGAAUAGAAAGCCACGGCUAACUACGUG
rnacentral:rRNA from 1 species